rnacentral:rRNA from 1 species
AACGUAGGUGGCAAGCGUUAUCCGGAUUCACUGGGCGUAAAGCGCGUGCAGGUGGCUCUGUAAGUUGGAUGUUAAAUCUUCCGGCCUAACCGGGAGUGGUCAUUCAAUACUGUGGGGCUUGAGGGCAGAAGAGGGGGGUGGAAUUGCCGGUGUAGUGGUGAAAUGCGUAGAUAUCGGCAGGAACACCUGUGGCGAAAGCGGCCCCCUGGUCUGCUCCUGACACUCAGACGCGAAAGCUAGGGUAGUGAACGGG